UACGUAGGGUGCGAGCGUUGUCCGGAAUUAUUGGGCGUAAAGAGCUUGUAGGCGGUCUGUCGCGUCUGCCGUGAAAUUUCGGGGCUCAACCCCGAACUUGCGGUGGGUACGGGCAGACUAGAGUGUGGUAGGGGAGACUGGAAUUCCUGGUGUAGCGGUGAAAUGCGCAGAUAUCAGGAGGAACACCGGUGGCGAAGGCGGGUCUCUGGGCCGAAACUGACGCUGAGGAGCGAAAGCGUGGGGAGCAAACAGG
rnacentral:rRNA from 1 species